GCCCUUAUAGCUCAGUGGUAGAGCGCAUCACUCGUAUUCUGUUGAUCACUUAAUGCUUAUUAAGCCGAUUACGUCAUCAUGAUGAGGUCCAUCGUUCAAUCCGGUGUGAGGGCA
rnacentral:tRNA from 1 species